ACUCCUACGGGAGGCAGCAGUAGGGAAUCUUCCACAAUGGGCGCAAGCCUGAUGGAGCAACACCGCGUGAGUGAAGAAGGGUUUCGGCUCGUAAAGCUCUGUUGUUAAAGAAGAACACGUAUGAGAGUAACUGUUCAUACGUUGACGGUAUUUAACCAGAAAGUCACGGCUAACUACGUGCCAGCAGCCGCGGUAAUACGUAGGUGGCAAGCGUUAUCCGGAUUUAUUGGGCGUAAAGAGAGUGCAGGCGGUUUUCUAAGUCUGAUGUGAAAGCCUUCGGCUUAACCGGAGAAGUGCAUCGGAAACUGGAUAACUUGAGUGCAGAAGAGGUAGUGGAACUCCAUGUGUAGCGGUGGAAUGCGUAGAUAUAUGGAAGAACACCAGUGGCGAAGGCGGCUACCUGGUCUGCAACGUGACGCUGAGACUCGAAAGCAGUGGUAGCGAACAGGAUUAGAUACCCCGUGGUAGGAUAGCG
rnacentral:rRNA from 1 species